rnacentral:rRNA from 1 species
AGUGAACGCUGGCGGUAGGCCUAACACAUGCAAGUCGAACGGCAGCACAGUAAGAGCUUGCUCUUACGGGUGGCGAGUGGCGGACGGGUGAGGAAUACAUCGGAAUCUACUUUUUCGUGGGGAUAACGUAGGGAAACUUACGCUAAUACCGCAUACGACCUACGGGUUAAAGCAGGGGAUCUUCGGACCUUGCGCGAUUGAAUGAGCCGAUGUCGGAUUAGCUAGUUGGCGGGGUAAAGGCCCACCAAGGCGACGAUCCGUAGCUGGUCUGAGAGGAUGAUCAGCCACACUGGAACUGAGACACGGUCCAGACUCCUACGGGAGGCAGCAGUGGGGAAUAUUGGACAAUGGGCGCAAGCCUGAUCCAGCCAUACCGCGUGGGUGAAGAAGGCCUUCGGGUUGUAAAGCCCUUUUGUUGGGAAAGAAAAGCAGCAGGUUAAUACCCCGCUGUUCUGACGGUACCCAAAGAAUAAGCACCGGCUAACUUCGUG